rnacentral:rRNA from 1 species
GGUUAAGCGACUAAGCGUACACGGUGGAUGCCCUGGCAGUCAGAGGCGAUGAAGGACGUGCUAAUCUGCGAAAAGCGUCGGUAAGGUGAUAUGAACCGUUAUAACCGGCGAUGUCCGAAUGGGGAAACCCAGUGCAAUUCGUUGCACUAUCGUUAACUGAAUACAUAGGUUAACGAGGCGAACCGGGGGAACUGAAACAUCUAAGUACCCCGAGGAAAAGAAAUCAACCGAGAUUCCCCCAGUAGCGGCGAGCGAACGGGGAGCAGCCCAGAGUCUGAAUCAGCUUGUGUGUUAGUGGAACGGUCUGGAAAGUCCGACGGUACAGGGUGAUAGUCCCGUACACCAAAAUGCACAGGCUGUGAACUCGAAGAGUAGGGCGGGACACGUGGUAUCCUGUCUGAAUAUGGGGGGA